rnacentral:rRNA from 1 species
GACGAACGCUGGCGGCGUGCUUAACACAUGCAAGUCGAACGGAAAGGCCCUGCUUUUGUGGGGUGCUCGAGUGGCGAACGGGUGAGUAACACGUGAGUAACCUGCCCUUGACUUUGGGAUAACUUCAGGAAACUGGGGCUAAUACCGGAUAGGAGCUCCUGCUGCAUGGUGGGGGUUGGAAAGUGUCGGCGGUUGGGUAUGGACUCGCGGCUUAGCAGCUUGUUGGUGGGGUAGUGGCUUACAAAGGCUUUGACGGGUAGCCGGCCUGGGAGGGUGACCGGCCACAUUGGGACUGGGGUACGGCCCAGAGGCAUACGGGAGGCAGCAGUGGGGAAUAGUGCGCAAUGGGCGGAAGCAUGAUGCAGCAACGCCGCGUGGGGGAUGACGGCCUUCGGGGUGUAAACCGCUUUCGACUGUGACGAAGCGUGAGUGACGGUAAUGGGUAAAGAAGCACCGGUGAACUACGU